rnacentral:rRNA from 1 species
AAGCGUCAUUAGAGUUGAUCUGGCUCAGAACGAACGCUGGCGGCGUGCCUAACACAUGCAAGUCGAACGUGAUCCAGAGCUUGCUCUGGUGAAAGUGGCGCACGGGUGAGUAACGCGUGGAUAACCUACCCUGGUAUCCGGGAUAACAUUCCGAAAGGGGUGCUAAUACCGGAUAAGCCCACGGGCUCUUUGGAGCUUGCGGGAAAAGGUGGCCUCUAUUUAUAAGCUACUGUAUCAGGAUGGGUCCGCGUACCAUUAGCUAGUUGGCGGUGUAACGGACCACCAAGGCGACGAUGGUUAGCUGGUCUGAGAGGAUGAUCAGCCACACUGGAACUGAGACACGGUCCAGACUCCUACGGGAGGCAGCAGUGGGGAAUUUUGCGUAAUGGGGGAAACCCUGACGCAGCAACGCCGCGUGAGUGAUGAAGGCCUUUGGGUCGUAAAGCUCUGUCAGAGGGGAAGAAAUGAUAUAGUGCUAAUACCACUUUAUCUUGACGGUACCCUCAAAGGAAGCACCGGCUAACUCCGUGCCAGCAGCCGCGGUAAUACAAGGGCGMMYUCWRCAR